AGCAGCCGCGGUAAUUCCAGCUCCAAUAGCGUAUAUUAAAGUUGUUGCAGUUAAAAAGCUCGUAGUUGAAUUUCGGGAUUGACACAUCGGUCGUGCCUUAAGGGGUAUGAACUGGUGUAGUCAAUUUCUCACCUUCUGGAGAACCGCGAUGCCCUUAAUUGGGUGUCGCGGGGAACCAGGACCUUUACUUUGAAAAAAUUAGAGUGUUUAAAGCAGGCAUUUUGCUUGAAUACAUUAGCAUGGAAUAAUAAAAUAGGACGGCAUGAUUCUAUUUUGUUGGUUUCUAGGAUCACCGUAAUGAUUAAUAGGGAUAGUUGGGGGCAUUAGUAUUCAAUUGUCAGAGGUGAAAUUCUUGGAUUUAUUGAAGACUAACUACUGCGAAAGCAUUUGCCAAGGAUGUUUUCAUUAAUCAAGAACGAAAGUUAGGGGAUCGAAGACGAUCAGAUACCGUCGUAGUCUUAACCAUAAACUAUGCCGACUAGGAUCAGACGAUGUUAAUUUUUAAUGACUCGUUUGGCAC
rnacentral:rRNA from 1 species